rnacentral:rRNA from 1 species
CAUUGCCGGGUAGCUAUGUUCGGAAAAGAUAACCGCUGAAAGCAUCUAAGCGGGAAACUUGCCUCAAGAUGAGAUCUCACUGGGAACUUGAUUCCCCUGAAGGGCCGUCGAAGACUACGACGUUGAUAGGCUGGGUGUGUAAGCGUUGUGAGGCGUUGAGCUAACCAGUACUAAUUGCCCGUGAGGCUUGACCAUAUAACACCCAAACA